CCUACGGGAGGCUGCAGUGAGGAAUAUUGGUCAAUGGCCGGAAGGCUGAACCAGCCAUGCCGCGUGAAUGUCAGUGCCCUAUGGGCGGUAAACUUCUUUUGUCCGGGAGCAAGGAUGGUCACGUGUUGCCAGACGAGAGUACCGUACGAAGCAGCAUCGGCUAACUCCGUGCCAGGAGCCGCGGCAAUACGGGUGGUGCAAGCGUUAGCCGGAUUUAUUGGGUUUAAAGGUGGCGUAGGCUGGGAGGUAAGUCAGCGUUGAAAUGCCCCCGCUCAACGGGGGGAAGUGCCUUUGAUACUGGCUUGCUGGAGUGCGGAUGCGGUGGGUGGAAUGCGAGGUGUAGCGGUGAAAUGCGUAGAUAUCUCGAAGAACACCGGUUGCGAAGGCAUCCCCCGAAUCAGCGAUUGACGCUGAUGCACGAAAGCGUGGGUAUCAAACAGGAUUAGAUACCCUUGUAGUC
rnacentral:rRNA from 1 species